rnacentral:rRNA from 1 species
GAUCUGGCUCAGGACGAACGCUGGCGGCACGCUUAACACAUGCAAGUCGAACGGAGAACAUUGAGCUUGCUUAAUGUUCUUAGUGGCGGACGGGUGAGUAACACGUGAGUAACCUGCCUCUGAGAGUGGGAUAGCUUCUGGAAACGGAUGGUAAUACCGCAUAACAUCAUGGAUUCGCAUGUUUCUAUGAUCAAAGAUUUAUCGCUUAGAGAUGGACUCGCGU